GUGGCCAUCUAGGAGCCAUUUCGGAAACUAGGUUUAAUAAUGGUCGAAAAAAUUGAGCUUCACAAAAAACUGGCAACACUGCUUCCGUUUUUUUCACAAAAGUUCGUCUGCAAUCUGCGUCAUCAAUCUGACAGCCAUUGACAGAGUAUUCUUCAAAUUCUUCAAUCACAUUGACAUAGUGAGUGACGUCGUUCAUCUCGAGCCUUUCUCGAACCUUGAACCACGAAUACUGUGAAGCUGCCAACUCAUCAUAUCAUGGGUUUCACUCAGCCAUAAUUGAAUUUUUUGAUUAUAGUAACUUGGCCCGGUUAGGCCUAUCCCUAGUGUCCCGUCCCUCUACACGUCCCUAUACUGGUUGAAACAAAUCAGCCAGAUAAAGGAAUUUUGAUACAGCCCAGGAUUCCCAGAUCACAUUGGCGCAAGAAGUAAGGCAUGAAUUAUUUCGCCAGCAUUGGGUUUUCAAUCGCUCCUUGCUGAAAAAGAAGUGAGUGUUGCUAGAAGUUUUUUUUGUGUGCAUCUCCAAUGGGACAAAUGUUACACACUCGAAUUCAUCAACAACCAGUCUGAGCCUUCCAAAAGGCAAAAAUUGUGUGACUGUUGAAGUUUUCUAGAAACUUUGUUAGCAUAAAGAACAGAGGUACUGUACCUGAUGAAUGUAAAUGUAACUAAAACCAUAUCAGGCAACAAAAUAUGUCUGUCUGAAGGAAAAUGCUAGCCAGUGAGAAGAAUGUUAAUAUUGGUGUAAAAAAUAUCAGUGAUGCGGCAUGUUUUGAUUUUCAGCUGUCAAUUUUUUAAAAGAGGUUGCUGGCGUAGGACAUUUAGAAAUCUAAUUCUUGGCUUCUAAAAGGUUUACGUGAUUGUUUUGUUCAAUGCCGAGCCAACUUAUAAAGUUUGAUUUAUGGUUCUAUUACGGUACGUGAUUCAAUAUAUUAAUUUCGGUCUUCUUA